CGGCUGCCCUGGCCUCCUCUCGGGCUCCCUGCAGCUGCCGGCCCAGGGUUGCCCUGAAGACACGGGGGUGAGGCUCAGCAGGCCCACGAUCAGGGGUUCUCUCUGCUCCAGGAUGGGGCCCCAGGUGAGAUGGCCACUCACACACGCGUCACCAGUGCCUGCUGCCAGGCCUCCUGACGCUCCAGCACCCGCUUCACUUCCCCCUGCAGCUGUGGGGCACACAGGGCUGGCUAGAUGAGACCCUAGGCUUGGGGUCUCUGGUGCUGCCCUCUCCCCUGAGCUAGGUGGCUGCACACUCACGCCGCUCCCCAGCCUGUGCUGCUCAUUCUCGGGAUUCAUGGUGUUCUUGGGCUGCACCUGAAUGGAAGGGAGGGCAGGGAAAGCUAAGGGGUGGGUGAGCCCCAGUUUCACUGAGGCCCCUGCUGAGGCUUCCCUCUGGCCUUUCCCAGCCAGGCUCUCCAUGUGCUCAUGGUAACCUGGAAUCUGUGGUCAUCAGAGUGUCCAGGCACCUGGGCUUUGUGUCUGAGCUCUUGGGCUGCUGCCCGGGGGUGCCUGGGGUCAGACUCCACUGGGACUGCACAGCCCUGGCUGGUGCCAUCUCCUCGCAGCUCCAGCUCCAGUACCCGGCUCUCCAGCCGAAGGAUCUGUGGGACAACUGGCAUGAGCAGGUGCACCUGCCCGCGGGCCACCUGGGCUGGAAGAUUUCAGCCUCGUGCUGCUCAUGUAGGUGGUGGGUUGUGAUCUGAAUGUCGACCAGCUCCUUGGAGAUCUGUGGGUGGCCAGAUGGAACCAGGUGCGUGAAAGCGCCCAGCCUGGGCGCAGCGGACGAGCACGCGGAACGGAGCGGCAGCCCGCCCGCAGGAUGCCCUGAGCUACACUCGCUGGACACCUUCUGUGUACCUAGCAGUGCUGACUGAGCCCCGGGACGGGGAGGUAUAUCUCUGCACCUCUGGCCUGAGAAGAGGGGCGCAGACGUCCCCAUCAGGGGCCGGAGAACUCGGAAACG
rnacentral:lncRNA from 1 species